UAUAUAUUGAAUUAUAUGUAUCACGUUGCAGCGAUCAGUAUGUACCCGGGACUAAUCACAGCACUACACGUAUCCUCUUUGCCUGGAAAACGGACAUCCAGUGAAGCAAGCUCAGUCUCAGCGUCCCCACAACAAAGCCCAAGGAAGGCGUACCGUACCAACCUAAGAAGCCGCACCCAGAAUGCCUCACGAUGACCAAUCUCCGCCCCCAGGCGAAGUCUCCGACUCCGCCGAUGUUGAAGAAGAAGAAGAAGACCCAGAAAUAGAAGAAGACGAGGACCCAGAGAUAGAAGAAGAAGAAGAUGACGACGACGAAGAAGACCCUGAAAUAGUAGAAGAAGAAGAAGAAGAAGAAGAAGGGGAAGAGAAUAUUGAAGAAGAAGAGGAGGAGAAGGAGGAAGAAGAAGAAGAAGAAGAGGUGGAGGAGGGAGAACAGGAAGAGAUAAUGGAAGAAGAAAGGGUUGAAGUGGAUAUGGAUAUUUCUGAUUCACCGGUUCAAGCUCGUGAUCAUCAUAACGAUGUUAGACGAGAUUAUAAGCCCGAGGGACUUGAUGGUAUACACUCAAAUGAAUCACAUGAUGAUGGAAAAGCUUAUUUGCGUCAUAGUGAGGUUAUGGAUGCUAAAGCCGCCAACUCAUCUGGUGUCGCUGGGGUAGAGAUGGCUGAUGCCAUCCUGAUGAGGGAUCACUUAGGUAAGGAGGUUAAGAGUGUUAUGAAUCCAGAGGAUGAGAUGAAACAAGGGGACAUACAUCUGAGGAAUGAUAGAAAACAAAUGGAUUCAAGAUCAGCUGCUUCUGAGAAAGUGACCAGAAUUAUGUCUCCUGUUGCUGAGACUAGUGAUCGAAACAAACGCCCAGCUAUUAUCUGUGACUUCUUUGCUAAAGGUUGGUGCAUUAGAGGUACUUCAUGUAAGUUUGUCCAUAUAAAAGACAAUCUGAAUAGUACUCAUCCACAAGGAGAUGUUGCUGCUGCAAAUUGUACUAGAGAAAUCCAGCCUGAUGAAGGUCUAAGAGACAUAACUGAGAGAUCAAGGUCACCUGGUUUUCCUGACCCUCUGGCUUCUUCACAUCUCUCUUCUGAAAAGAUCCAAUUUUCGGAACACACAGGAAUUCAGAGACGGCACCAGUCUCUUGAAAACCAUAAGUUUCCAGCAGUUCCAGGAGAGGAAUCAAAUAUGGGUGAGUAUGCACAGAAAUUGCAUUCAUCCAAAGAUGAUCAAGUCUUUCUCUCCUCGUUUAAGGAUGUAGGAAGGGAUGGUCAUGCACGUAAUUGGCCCGUUGAUGGUUAUAACAACUCACCAAUUCAUAAAGAUAAUUCUAGAUUCAUGAGUGGUUUGCAUCCUGAGCCUGGAUUUUUUUCUAAUGGAUCUACUGCGUCAUCAGGCAAGUACUCUAGAGGGAAUCCCACUUCUCAGUCGAGCUGUAUGGAGGAACCAGCUGGAAUUUGGAGCCAGCGUAUGCACAGUGAUCAUAAUUCCCCACUUGCGAGCCUUUCCUUGAAUUCAAACUCAAGUAAUCUUUUAACUAAUGGCUCAUUUCCAGCUAGCCGUAUUUCAUCUUGGACCGGAUUUUCAUUGCCUUCUAGUUAUUCCUGUUUAGAUGCAAGUCCUUAUGGUACUCAAAAGCUUUUAGACCGAAAUAGAGAUUACCGUUAUUCUACUAGAUCAUCUCCCUUACUGAAAAGCUCCUCUCCCUUCUCUAGUUCUGAAUUGAAGAAGUUGCCUUCUACCAGUGUGUCAUUGCGCUCUGAUAAACUUCAAACAAAAAUUUCUUCAAAUGAUUGGGAGCCAUCUGUACCCUUCCGGCCAUCUUUUAUUCUUCCUCCUGCAUUUCUAUCAUCUUCAGGGAGCCAGUAUGACCCUCUUCAUGACAGCAUUGAGUUACCCAAGUUAGCAAACAUCUCUUUUGAGGCUUCUUUCUAUUCUGAAGAGGCUGUCAUUGGGAACAAGUUGCAUCAUCAAAUACGUGGUGAAUCUGUUAGUGGGACUAUGCGUCCAGCUUGUGAUGGUGAUACAAACUCUAUGUCUUCACAUAAUACAUGUCAUGAAAAGGUAUUAGAUAAUAGCUGCUAUACACGUGAACAUAAUUCGCCUGUAACUGAAGCAGAGACAGUGGGGGCUUCUGUUGUCUGCCAAAAUGGAACCAUGACUAUAGAAGAAAAUCUCUUGGGGCCCUCUCAUCUCAAAGGUAAUACAAAACCACAUAAAACCAGUUCAUAUGGUGAUUCUAGACCUCAGAGUGACAGUUCUAGACACAAAAAAGACAUAACAGUAGAUAGAUUUAGAGAAAACAAUGAAGUGGAUGGUGAACAUGUGACAGAUGGGGAUGUACAGCAAGAAUCAAAAGCUCUGAGGCAUUUCCGUGCGGCUCUUGUAGAGUUAGUAAAAGAAUUGUUAAAACCAAAAUGGCGUGAAGGUUGUCUCAGCAAAGAUGCACAUAACAAGAUAGUUAAGAAAGCAGUAGAGAAGGUUCUCAGUGCUUUUCAGCCCCAUCAAAUCCCACCUACCGUAGAAACAGUUGUGCAAUACCUGUCUUCAUGCCGUCCAAAAAUCUCAAAGCUUGUUGAGGGAUAUGUUGAGAAAUAUGGCAAAUCUUGAGAUGUUAGGCCAAGUGAUUGUUCUUUUGCAGAAUUUCCUACACAGUUUACUAAUUGGAGGUGCUGUGGAGUGACAGGGUAAAAUGAAUCCUUUUGGUUUGGGAACUAAGGAUACCCAUAUGGGACCCAUGAAGUUGAAAUUACAGUUUCCAUAUCAGUCUUCCCCGAGUUAGGAUGGAUAUGAUAUGUAAUUGAUCACUUCUGCAGUAUCUUGGGUAUAAUUUGCAUAUACCUUAUUUUACUGGCUACAAAGAAUUUGGCAUAGUGCGGCAGAUUUUCAUUAAGAUAAUGAAAAAUAAAAAUAAGCAUAGUGUAGAUAUCAAAAGAUGUUUAUUUUGAAUUUCUGAAGUUGAAGUUGACUUUUAAUAUUGCUAGCAUUGGAAUUUGAAGUUGUACUGUUCAUCCUCUU